UACGUAGGGUGCAAGCGUUGUCCGGAAUUACUGGGCGUAAAGAGCGCGUAGGCGGCGCGGUACGACCGCUGUGAAAGCCCCCAGCUCAACUGGGGAGGGUCAGCGGUAACGGCCGUGCUUUGAGUGCAGGAGAGGGAAGUGGAACUCCGGGAGUAGCGGUGAAAUGCGUAGAGACCCGGAGGAACACCAGUGGCGAAGGCGGCUUCCUGGUCUGCGACUGACGCUGUGGCGCGAAAGCUAGGGGAGCAAACGGG
rnacentral:rRNA from 1 species